AAAACCCACGAGGGGACGCGGUGGAGGAGGGUUGCUGUCCACCCGGGGGCGUGGGAGUGAGGUACUGGAUUCAGCCCAUUUGGCCCCGAAGCCUCUGUUCUCGGAAUCCGGGUGCUGUGGGUUGAGGUCCCGGUUCCUAACGGUGGGACUGGUGUCCUCGAGAUGAAAUUUGGGGUUUCCUCGGGGCUUUGGUGGGAUCGGUGUCCUCAGGAUGAGAUUUAGGGUUUCCUUGGGGCUUUGGGGAUCUUCACCUAAUAUCUGCGAUUAUUUUAUGAGAGGAGUGGUCUUGGCUGUCAGAACUGGAUCCCUGGGGUGAUAUUUGGGAGUUACUGGAGUGAUCUCUGAAGACCUAGGGCUAUGAGCUGGAGCUGCUGGGGCUGAAAUUUGGGGCCUUUGAAGUGGCAUGGAGAUUGAGGUCCAGAGAGCCUGAGAUCUUGAGGGCUGACAUUUGGAGAGAUGGGGUCGAGGGUUGUCUUUGGGCCUUGACUGCUUUGGGCCUUUCUCACUCUCAUUCCCGGGAUGCUUUGCCAGAAUCUCUGCUGGAUUGGC
rnacentral:lncRNA from 1 species